CCCAGGGAACAGUGAACCUUCAUAGGGUCUUUCUGUCCAGGUGCAGGUAUUCCGCAUCUUCACAGACAUAUCUAUUUCACCGAGCCUCUCUUCGAGACAGUGCCCAGAUCGUUACGACUUUCAUACGGGUCGAAACUUACCUGACAAGAAAUUUCAUUACCUUAGGACCGUUAUAGUUAUGGCCGUCAUUCACCGGGGUUUCGGUCGCUAACUCCCCUAUCAUCAGGUCACUAACUUCCUUGACCUUCUGGCACUGGGCAGGCUUUAUCCCCCAUACAUAGUCUCACGCCUACGACCCUCUUUGUGAUGUGAAGAGGCACCCCUUCUUGCGAAGUUAUGGGGCUAUUUUGCCGAGUUCCUUAGAGAGAGUUGUCUCAUGCCCCUAGGUAUUCUCUACCUACCCACCUGUGUCAGUUUCGGGUAUAGGUACCCUCUUGCUCAAAGUCGUUUGAGCUUUUUCUGGGAGUAUGGCAUGGGUUACUUCAGCACCGUAGCGCGUGGUAUUCGAAUAUUGGCUCGAGGCAUUUUCUCUACCCCUUCUUACCCUGAAAAAAGGGCAGGGACACCUUAUGUUCUUGAACCGAUAACCAUCUUUCGGCUAACCUAGCCUCCUCCAUCCCUCGGGACCAACAAGGGUUAGUACAGGAAUAUUCACCUGUUGUCCAUCGACUAUGCCUUUCAGCUUGAUCUUAGGCCCUGAAUCACCCUUUGUGGAUGAACCUUGCGGAGGAACCCUUAGGUUUUUGAGGCAUUGGAUUAUCACCAAUGAUUGCAUUACUCAAGCUGACAUUCUCGCUUUCGCUUCAUCCACCGCUCAUGCAGAGGCUUUCUUCUAAGGUGGAACGCUCCCCUACCGAUGUAUUUUUACACCCCACAGCUUUGGCAGAUCGCUUAGCCCCGUUCAUCUUCGGCGCAAGAGCGCUCGAUCAGUGAGCUAUUACGCACUCUUUCAAGGGUGGCUGCUUCUAGGCAAACCUCCUGGCUGUCUCUGCACCCCUACCUCCUUUAUCACUGAGUGGCCAUUUAGGGGCCUUAGCUGGUAAUCCGGGUUGUUUCCCUCUCGACGAUGAAGCUUAUCCCUCAUCGUCUCACUAGCUGACUUUGACCCCUCUUUUUUAAUUUUGAGGUGAUACCUAGUAUUUAGAGUUUUCCUCGAUUUGGUACCGCUCUCGUGGCCUGCACCAAAAUAGUGCUUUACCCCUAGAUGUCCAGUCAAUUUCUGCGCCUCAAUGCAUUUCAGGGAGAACCAGCUAGCUCUGGGUUCGAGUAGUAUUUUAUUAUUAACCACAACUUAUCCGCUGAUUCUUCAACAUCAGUCGAUUCGGACCUCCACUUAGUUUCACCCAAGCUUCAUCCUGGUUAUGGAUAGAUCACCUAGGUUUGGGUCCAUAAGCAGUAACAAUUGCCCUAUGAAGACUCAUUUUUAUUACGGCUGCGGUGGGUUCCCUUAACCAAGCCACUGCCUAUGAGUCGCUGGCUCAUUUUGCAAUAGGCACGCGGUUAGAGCCAUGGCUCCUCCCACUGCUUGGUAGCUUAUGGUUUCAUGUUCUAUUUCACUCCCCGAUGGGGGUUCUUUUCACCCUUCCCUCAUGGUACUACUUCGCUAUUGGUCACCCAGGAGUAUUUAGCCUUACAAGGUGGUCCUUGCUGAUUCACACGGGAUUCCAUAUGCCCCAUGCUACUCGGGUCAGAGAGUAAGCUAGUGAUGCUCUUGGCUACUGGUCUUUGGCCAUCUAGGGUGUAGCAUUCAGGGUCCUUCGCCUAGCAGCACGACACUUGUAUUGCUCUCCCACAUUCCUAUUUUCCUGGUUUAGGCUGCUCCUAUUUCGCUCGCUGCUACUAUGGGAAUCACUUUUGCUUUCUUUUCCUCUGGCUACAAAGAUGUUUUAGUUCGCCUGGUUGUCUCUUUCCUGCCCAUAGAUUAAACUGCAGUUUGAAAGGUUGCCCUAUUGGGGAAUCUUUGGAUCUAUGCUUAUUUCCAACUCCCUAAAGCAUUUCGUCGAUUACUAUGCCCUUCCUUAUCUAUGGGUGCCUAGGUAUCUACUGUAAGCCUUUUCUCAUUUGAACCUCGCCCUUUACUUUUAAGGCUAUGCCAUCCUAAGGCGCUGCUAAAUGGAUGGAUCUUAUCAAUGUCCAUAAAUGAUAAAUCAUAGAUCGAACCGAUGAAUUGGAAAAAUUGGGUGCUAUCAUAAAGCUUUGUAUCGACUAAGUUCACGAGUUAGAGAGAAGUGGACUCGAACCGCUGACAUCUGCUGCAGGGUAAACCACUGCCUCUCAGGUCCCCCGACUGAUUCUACCAUAGAGGCCAACGAUAGAUAAUAAAUACCUCCCAAACAUAGCUUACAACUUUCAUCGUACUUCUUGUGGUUUCGGAGGAUCCAACUACAGGAGAACCAGGAACGGAGGGCUUUCCCCCUUUGCGCCAGACUCUUUGGUCUUAAGAACGUUGGUUUUAAGUAUGAGUCAUUGCCCUUCUCCGACCCUGAUUGCCCAACCUGUG
rnacentral:lncRNA from 1 species